ACGCUUUGUCUUUAAUUGAUCUGACGAGCUUGCUCUGAUUUGAUUCUAUCUGACAAAGAGUGGCGAACGGGUGAGUAACACGUGGGUCCCCUACCUCUUAGCAGGGGAUAACAUUUGGAAACAAGUGCUAAUACCGUAUAAUACCAACAACCGCAUGGUUGUUGGUUCAAAGAUGGUUCUGCUAUCACUAAGAGAUGGACCCGCGGUGCAUUAGCUAGUUGGUAAGGUAACGGCUUACCAAGGCAAUGAUGCAUAGCCGAGUUGAGAGACUGAUCGGCCACAAUGGGACUGAGACACGGCCCAUACUCCUACGGGAGGCAGCAGUAGGGAAUCUUCCACAAUGGGCGCAAGCCUGAUGGAGCAACGCCGCGUGUGUGAUGAAGGGUUUCGGCUCGUAAAACACUGUUAUAAGAGAAGAACGGCACUGAGAGUAACUGUUCAGUGUGUGACGGUAUCUUACCAGAAAGGAACGGCUAAAUACGUGCCAGCAGCCGCGGUAAUACGUAUGUUCCAAGCGUUAUCCGGAUUUAUUGGGCGUAAAGCGAGCGCAGACGGUUAUUUAAGUCUGAAGUGAAAGCCCUCAGCUCAACUGAGGAAUGGCUUUGGAAACUGGAUGACUUGAGUGCAGUAGAGGAAAGUGGAACUCCAUGUGUAGCGGUGAAAUGCGUAGAUAUAUGGAAGAACACCAGUGGCGAAGGCGGCUUUCUGGACUGUAACUGACGUUGAGGCUCGAAAGUGUGGGUAGCAAACAGGAUUAGAUACCCUGGUAGUCCACACCGUAAACGAUGAGUGCUAGAUGUUCGAGGGUUUCCGCCCUUGAGUGUCGCA
rnacentral:rRNA from 1 species